ensembl:snRNA U1 U1 spliceosomal RNA
AUACUUACCUGGCACAGGAUAAACCAUCAUCAGGCAGGUGGUUUCCCCAGGGCGAGGCUCAUCCCUUGCACUGCAGGUGUGCUGACCCCUGCAAUUGCCCCACAUGUGGGAAACUGACUUCAACAGAC